rnacentral:rRNA from 1 species
AAUCUUCCGCAAUGGACGAAAGUCUGACGGAACAACCCCCCGUGGGGGUUAAGGUUUUUCGGUCAGUAAAAUCCUGUUGUUGGGGAGGACAAAUUAUCGGAUUAACUGCCGUUACCUUGACGGUACCUGACGAGAAAGCCACGGCUAACUCCGUCCCACCAGCCGCGGUAAUACGUAGGUGGCAAGCGUUGUCCGGAUUUAUUGGGCGUAAAGCGCGCGCAGGCGGUCUUUUAAGUCUGAUGUGAAAUCUUACAGCUUAACUGUAAGCGGUCAUUGGAAACUGGGAGACUUGAGUGCAGAAGAGGAGAGUGGAAUUCCAUGUGUAGCGGUGAAAUGCGUAGAGAUAUGGAGGAACACCAGUGGCGAAGGCGACUCUCUGGUCUGUAACUGACGCUGAGGCGCGAAAGCGUGGGGAUCAAACA